rnacentral:rRNA from 1 species
UACGGGGGGGGCAAGCGUUGUUCGGAAUUAUUGGGCGUAAAGGGCUCGUAGGCGGUUUGUCGCGUCGGGAGUGAAAACACUGGGCUUAACUCAGUGCUUGCUUCCGAUACGGGCAGACUAGAGGUAUGCAGGGGAGAACGGAAUUCCUGGUGUAGCGGUGAAAUGCGCAGAUAUCAGGAGGAACACCGGUGGCGAAGGCGGUUCUCUGGGCAUUACCUGACGCUGAGGAGCGAAAGUGUGGGGAGCGAACAGG